rnacentral:rRNA from 1 species
CCCUUAGAUGUUCUGGGCCGCACGCGUGCUACACUGAGUGGAUCAGCGGGUCAGGUUGCGCGAAAGCGUUUCCUAAUCUUUAAAUCCGCUCGUGAUGGGGAUUGACGGUUGCAAUUUUCUGUCAUGAACGAGGAAUACCUUGUAAGCGCGGGUCAUCAUCCCGCGCUGAAUACGUCCCUGCCCUUUGUACACAACGCCCGUCGCUCCUACCGAUUGAGUGGUCCGGUGAGGCUUUGGGAUCUGAGCGGAAAGAGCGUUUCGCUGUUUCUGCUCGGAAAACUCAGUCGAACCUUAUCAUUUAGAGGAAGGAGAAGUCGUAACA